rnacentral:tRNA from 1 species
GGCCUGGUAGCUCAGUUGGUUAGAGCGCCGCCCUGUCACGGCGGAGGUCGUGGGUUCGAGCCCCAUCCAGGUCG